AUACGUAGGGGGCGAGCGUUGUCCGGAAUGACUGGGCGUAAAGGGCGUGUAGGCGGCCGAUUAAGUCUGGAGUGAAAGUCCCGCUUUCAAGGUGGGAAUUGCUUUGGAGACUGGUUGGCUUGAGUGCGGAAGAGGUAAGUGGAAUUCCCAGUGUAGCGGUGAAAUGCGUAGAGAUUGGGAGGAACACCAGUGGCGAAGGCGACUUACUGGGCCGUAACUGACGCUGAGGCGCGAAAGCGUGGGGAGCGAACAGGAUUAGAUACCCUGGUAGUCCACGCUGUAAACGAUGAAUGCUAGGUGUAGGGGGUAUCGACCCCUCCUGUGCCGGAGUAAACGCAAUAAGCAUUCCGCCUGGGGAGUACGGCCGCAAGGUUGAAACUCAAAUGAAUUGACGGG
rnacentral:rRNA from 1 species